rnacentral:rRNA from 1 species
AGAGUUUGAUCCUGGCUCAGAUUGAACGCUGGCGGCGUGCUUAACACAUGCAAGUCCAACGUGAAAGGGGAGCAAUCUCCCGGUAGGGUGGCGAACGGGUGAGUAAUACAUGGGAAUCUGUCCUGGAGAUGGGGGAUAUCCUUCCGAAAAGGAGGGUUUAAUACCGAAUAUCGUCCGGGUGACGGGAGUCACUUGGGGAAAGGGAGGCCUCUGGCAACAUGCUUCCGCUCCGGGAGGAGCCCAUGGCCCAUCAGCUAGUUGGUAGGGUAAAGGCCUACCAAGGCUACGAUGGGUCGCUGGUCUGAGAGGACGAUCGGCCACACUGGCACUGAGACACGGGGCCAGAUUCCUACGGGAGGCGAC